GUUGUCGGUGCUUUGGUAAGACAGCUGUAUGGGUGUUUUCCUUGCCAUAAAGCUAGAUUACCAAAGCACCGACUGU
rnacentral:pre_miRNA from 1 species